rnacentral:sRNA from 1 species
AGGCUUGACCAUGCAUGGGAAAGCUCCUGGAAACAGGGGCCCCUCUUUCGGAGCUCAUGCACAGGUGCUGCAUGGCUGUCGUCAGCUCGUGUCGUGAGAUGUUGGGUUAAGUCCCGCAACGAGCGCAACCCUUACCCUUAGUUGCCAGCGAGUCAUGUCGGGGACUCUAGGGGGACUGCCGGUGCCAAACCGGAGGAAGGUGGGGAUGACCGUCAAAGUCAUCAUGGUCCUUACGUCUAGGGCUACACACGUGCUACAAUGGCAGGUACAGAGGGCUGCGAAGGGGCAACCUGGAGCCAAUCCCCAAAGCCUGCCUCAGUUCGGAGUUGUCGGCUGCAACAUCGCCGGCAUGAAGCUGGAAUCCGCUAGUAAUCGCGGAUCAGCUACGCCGCGGUGAAUACGUUCCCGGGCCUUGUACACACCGCCCGUCACGCCAUGGAAGCUGUGAGCGCCCGAAGUCGGUGCCGGAACCCGCAAGGGACCAAGCCGCCGAAGGCGAGCGCAGUGACUGGGGCGAAGUCGUAACAAGGUAGCCGUAGGGGAACCUGCGGCUGGAUCACCUCCUUUCCGGAGCGACGAGUAGGUCGGCCCCUUGGGGUCCGGACCGAAAGUCCCGGAUUUAGUCGCCCGCUCUGCACGUCCGAUUCUCGAACUUGAUU